rnacentral:lncRNA from 1 species
GAAAAAUGAUCUUGCUGGAGAAUUUUGAAGGGAAGAGAUGAUGCAAACAUUAGUAUAUCAUUUGCUGUGUUGUUGUGGUGUUGUAAUGUUGUGUUGUCUUUCUUUAAUAUUUACAGAAUUAUGUAUUCUUGUUGUGUUGUCUUUCCUUUUAGUUUCAUGAAUUGUUAAUGUUAUCUAAAACAAUGAUGUAUCAAAACAAGACAAUUUUUUUCUAUUAAAUGUUAUGUGGGAAUAAUCCUUAAAACCCAAAAAAAAAAAAUUUAACUUAGAAAAAGAGAGUUCCUACUAAAGCAUAACAAAGUGACAAAGAAAAACAAAGAGAAAAUCGAUUUUUUGUGCGAACAGAUCCUUCUCUUCUCUUUUGCUGUCUCUUCG